rnacentral:rRNA from 1 species
UACGAAGGGGGCUAGCGUUGCUCGGAAUUACUGGGCGUAAAGCGCGCGCAGGCGGCCUCCUAAGUCCGAUGUGAAAGCCCACGGCUCAACCGUGGAGGGUCAUUGGAAACUGGGGGACUUGAGUGCAGGAGAGAAGAGUGGAAUUCCACGUGUAGCGGUGAAAUGCGUAGAGAUGUGGAGGAAUACCGAUGGCGAAGGCAGCCUCCUGGGCCAACACUGACGCUCAUGCACGAAAGCGUGGGGAGCAAACAGG